GAACCUGCCCAACGUACUGAGGAGGCAGCAGCGACUGUCUUUAGGAAGGUACUUGGAAGUCGACCAGGAUAUGCACGAGGCCUAGGGGAGAUGGUGAUACCAGAGCCUACAAGAGUUCGUGACCGUAAGCGGGAGCAAUGAUACUUAGAUUUAUUGGCCAAACAUAAGAAGGAUGCAGAGACCCACAAAGUUGAAAUGGAUGAGAUGAAGGCAAACAUGAGCAGAAUUUUGGAGAGAUAGAAUGAGGCCGAUAAGCUGUUGAGGUCAUUUUUGGCUGAGUUCCUUGUGUUCACUGAGUCUCACCAGGGAGACUCAGUGAACGGGUAACAACUUAUGGAAUGGCAGUGACAUUUUUGAGUAUUUUGGGUGCAUUUUUGAUAGUAAGAUGGUGGAUGGGCAGUAAAUAUGCAUGGGAGGUUAAAUAUUUAGUGUUUUGUGGUAGCUAUCUCUUAGAAGUGUGACUGGCUUUUGGAAAUUGUGUAAUCAUGACUAGUUUUUUGAUAGGAGCAAUCACAGAGAUCUUAUUAAUGAAUGUUAGUUUUUGUCUAAUAUGGAGGAAGGAGGACAACAUGUUGUGUUAUAUUGGUGACAAGGUGUAAAACAAUGGACAGGUCGACUUUAUAAAUACAGGGGAGAAAAGCAUGGCAAGUUCCUACAACAUAUGGAUUAAGUUAGAGCAAACUGGUAUCCUUGAUGGACAAAUGUGUAAAGGCUUUUUAGAAGAUGUACCAGAUUAAGGUGAUUGAAUAUCAAUGGGUAGAAGAUGCAAUGGAAUUUGAUGGACAGUAGGCCGCCAACAUUUCUAAUAUGAACAAUCAAACGAGAACGAGUAGAUCAACUUGUUGCUGCGAACGACAUGAUAUGGACUGAAGGAGUGAAAGAUGUACGUAGUUCAUUGAAAAUCCAUUGUUAUAAGAGUGAAAUAGGGUAUUAUUCCAUUGGCUUUGUAUAUGUAAACAUCUUUCUUCCUAUAAGCUGUCACAACAUGGGAGUAUAUAGUGGCUUAGGAUGUGAAAUUCCAGAUGAUGUAAGUGAAUUGGUGGGCACCCGAAAGACUGA